ACGGAAGGCGGCAGCUAAGAAUAUUCCGCAAUGGACGAAAGUCUGACGGAGCGACGCCGCGUGGAUGAUGAAGGCCGGAAGGUUGUAAAAUCCUUUUAUAACUGAGGAAUAAGUAAUGUAAGAGAAACGCAUUAUGGUGACUGUAGGUUAUGAAUAAGCAACGGCUAAUUACGUGCCAGCAGCCGCGGUAACACGUAAGUUGCGAGCGUUGUUCGGAAUUAUUGGGCGUAAAGGGCAUGUAGGCGGUUUUGCAAGCUUGGUGUGAAAUCCCGGGGCUUAACUCCGGGAUUGCGUUGAGAACUGCAUAACUAGAGUCACUGAGGGGCAAUCAGAAUUCCAGGUGUAGGGGUGAAAUCUGUAGAUAUCUGGAAGAAUACCAAUGGCGAAGGCAGGUUACCAGCAGAUGACUGACGCUGAGGUGCGAAGGUGCGGGGAGCAAAUAGGAUUAGAUACCCUGGUA
rnacentral:rRNA from 1 species